UCCUAGAGGUAAAAGAUCUCAUCUCCUCCACCCUACGAUCUCCAUUCUUCUUCAGUUCUUCUUUCUUCAUCUCCUUCCUUCUUUUCUAAGACUCCUCUACAUCUUAAUUUUCUUCGUUCUCGUCUCAAUCCGCCUUCAACCCAUCUUGAUCUUCUUUGUUCUCCUCUACGAUCUCCAUUCUCCUUUCUUCAUCAACCUCGUUCAAUGCAAUCUCUCUUAAAAGCUGGAAUAGGACGGUCGGAGUUUGCCGCGGCUGUCGCCGUCACCUUCACCGACUCACUGUCACCGUCACAACCGGAGCCGCAGCCGCAGCCGCUCAGCUCAUAUCCUUGUCAAAACCCUAAAAUUUUUAUUGGGUAUUAAUUAUAUUGGGCUUUUCUUUGGGUUUUGUUAAUUGUAUUGGGCUUUUGAGUUUUAUUUUAUUGGAUUUGGGUUUGUAAUAGAGUAUUUUUUUUUCUUUUCUAAUAUGUAAACCGAAAUAGAAACCGAAUAAACCGAAGAAAUUAAAAAUCCGGUUCAUGUUCGGAACUUAAAUUUUAGCCAAUAACCGACCCGAAUAAACCGACUUCCGAACCGACUCGAACCGAAUUUCAAUUCGGGUCUAUUCGGUGGAAUUUUUUAAAAACCGAAUUUCUCCCAAACCGAACAAACCGACCCG
rnacentral:lncRNA from 1 species